CAGGGGCCUGCGCACCUUUGCGAGCCUGGGCUGGAGCUGAAGCCUGGGCCUUAGUUGGAGCUGUGUGGCCUCUGCCUUGGUUCGAACCUUGGGCUUUGGUUGGCAGAGCCUUUGACCCUUGGCCAUGUAGCUUCGAACCUUCUUCCCAAGCCUGGGACAUGUCGUCAUACUCUCCCGGCCUGGCUGCUGGUCCAUGACAAGGAUGUGGCAGCCAUCAUCUACGGAACACACCAAGCAGUGUGUCUGGGUACGAGCAGUGUAGAACUUGUCAACAGCUCCACACAGCUCCAGUUCCAUGCAGAAAGCAGGGCUGCUCACCGCCAGUUCCAGUGUGCACUUGAAGACUGACGGGAAAGCUGGAUUGUGUUGCUUCUUGGAGCGGAAGCUGAUGAGGAAGCCACCGAUUAACAGUCAAUAUGUGUGCCUAUCUGCUGUCAUCUCAUCUCACUGUGCUGUCAUGGCCACAGAACUGUCAGCUGCCCCACAUCUACCUUACCCACCACGUUAUCUUCUCUUGACGCCCUCCCUGAACUCCAUCUGGCCCCUUCCUCAUCACAAUAACCCCUUGUUUACUUUCAUGCUUGUUUGUGAAUCUAUACCUCUUUCACAUAUGAGAUCAACAAUACCAGUGUCUCUGGCUUAUUUGACUUCUCAGGAUGAUCUUUAGUGGGGCAAUAUUCUCAAAGAUAGGUGGCAUGGCCUCCUAUUCCUUCCUCUUGUCACCUUUAUUGGUGAAGUGCAUAUUGACAGGAAACUGCAAUAUGAGAAAGAAGCCCGAUAAAACAAAAUGAGAAAGAAGGAGCCUGGGCCCUCAGUAACUAAAGAACCGUCAUGCUUGUCGGUUGGAUGGCUUCACUCUGGCACCUAAAUGCUCAAGGGGGCAAUGAAAUCAAACUUGUUAAGCUGCAAUUAUACAGCUGUUCUGUCCUCAUAGCUGAACUUAGUACUGACUGAUUUAAGUUAGCACUUCAUUCACAGACAGAGGUGUCUUUAGAUCUCAAAUUUGUAUG
rnacentral:lncRNA from 1 species